CUAAGCAUAUCAAUAAGCGGAGGAAAAGAAACCAACAGGGAUUGCCUCAGUAACUGCGAGUGAAGCGGCAAAAGCUCAAAUUUGAAAUCUGGCGUCUUCGGCGUCCGAGUUGUAAUUUGGAGAGGCAUCUUCGGAUAUGGCGCCGUCCUAAGUUCCUUGGAACAGGACGUCACAGAGGGUGAGAAUCCCGUGCCUGGUCGGCUGUCCAUAUCCAUGUGAAGUGUCUUCGACGAGUCGAGUUGUUUGGGAAUGCAGCUCAAAAUGGGUGGUAAAUUUCAUCUAAAGCUAAAUAUUGGCGAGAGACCGAUAGCGCACAAGUAGAGUGAUCGAAAGAUGAAAAGAACUUUGAAAAGAGAGUUAAAAAGUACGUGAAAUUGUUGAAAGGGAAGCGCUUGAGACACCACUCGAUCUUUGGUGAUCAGCCGGGCUUCUGUCUGGUGCACUUGCCAUUGAUUGGGCCAGCAUCGGUUCUGACGGUGGGAUAAAAGGCAGAGGAAUGUGGCUCUCUUCGGGGAGUGUUAUAGCCUCUGUCAUAAUGCCGCCAGUUGGGACCGAGGACCGCGCUUCGGCUAGGAUGCUGGCAUAAAGGUCUUAAGCGACCCGUCUUGAAACACGGACCAAGGAGUCUAACAUCUAUGCGAGUGUUCGGGUGGAAAACCCUUGCGCGUAAUGAAAGUGAACGGAGGUGGGAACUCUUCGGAGUGCACCAUCGACCGAUCCUGAUGUUUUCGGAAGGAUUUGAGUAAGAGCAUAGCUGUUGGGACCCGAAAGAUGGUGAACUAUGCCUGAAUAGGGUGAAGCCAGAGGAAACUCUGGUGGAGGCUCGCAGCGGUUCUGACGUGCAAAUCGAUCGUCAAAUUUGGGUAUAGGGGCGAAAGACUAAUCGAACCAUCUAGUAGCUGGUUCCUGCCGAAGU
rnacentral:rRNA from 1 species